AUUGAACGCUGGCGGCAUGCCUAACACAUGCAAGUCGAGCGGAAGCAGGGGGCUUUGCCCCUGGUGGCGCGUGGGGCGGGUGUGUGAAGUACAGGGGAAUACCUGCUGGAGGGGGGUAAAGUCCGGAGACGGGCGCUUAUAUACCGCACGCGCUGAACGAGAAAGAGGGGGGUCCUUGGAGCCCACGCGCUAUGGUGUUACUAGGUGGGAUUAGCUAGUUGGUGGGGUAAAGGCCUACCAAGGCGACGAUCCGUAACUGGUCUGAGAGGAUGAUCAGCCACACUGGAACUGAGACACGGUCCAGACUCCUACGGGAGGCAGCAGUGGGGAAUAUUGGACAAUGGGCGAAAGCCUGAUCCAGCAAUGCCGCGUGUGUGAAGAAGGUCUUCGGAUUGUAAAGCACUUUUAUUUGGGAAGAAAUCCUGUGCGCUAAUACCUUCCUGUUUUGACGGUACCGAAAGAAUAAGCACCGGCUAACUACGUG
rnacentral:rRNA from 1 species